GACGAACGCUGGCGGCGUGCUUAACACAUGCAAGUCGAACGGAAAGGCCCUGCUUUUGUGGGGUUCUCGAGUGGCGAACGGGUGAGUAACACGUGAGUAACCUGCCCUUGACUUUGGGAUAACUUCAGGAAACUGGGGCUAAUAUCGGAUAGGAUCUCCUGCUGCAUGGUGGGGGUUGGAAAGUUUCGGCGGUUGGGGAUGGACUCGCGGCUUAUCAGCUUGUUGGUGGGGUAGUGGCUUACCAAGGCUUUGACGGGUAGCCGGCCUGAGAGGGUGACCGGCCACAUUGGGACUGAGAUACGGCCCAGACUCCUACGGGAGGCAGCAGUGGGGAAUAUUGCACAAUGGGCGGAAGCCUGAUGCAGCAACGCCGCGUGCGGGAUAACGGCCUUCGGGUUGUAAACCGCUUUCGCCUGUGACGAAGCGUGAGUGACGGUAAUGGGUAAAGAAGCACCGGCUAACUACGUG
rnacentral:rRNA from 1 species